AUUUCUCAAGUCUGAGGGCUUUCUUAGGGUCAUUCAUAAACAAUAUUUACAGGCAAUUGUUCUGGCUCCUCCUUUAGAAAUGUUUCAGGUUUUACCUAGUUCCAAACAGAACUCCAAAGACUAGAAUCCAAACUCAGAGAUCUUGUUCGGUUAUGAUCCUUUCAGUCUGAAUCCAGCUUGAGAAUGUCUGGUUCUCAGUAAUAGGAUAGGUGCUCCCUCCCUCCCUGAAGUCCUUCCUUGAGUGGCCUUCAUCUUUGCACUGCCCCAGAGCAACCUGAAAUGAUGGUCAAGAUUUCACCACAAAAAGUGGUUCACAUGUUCCAGCAUCCUGAAUUUCUCCUACCAAACUCCCUAAUGCAGCAACGUUUGUAGGCGUAUGGUCCACGGUCUAAGAUGCAGUAGUUUUGGACACGAUUGUACCAGGUGAAGUUUGUCUUCCUGACCUC
rnacentral:lncRNA from 1 species